rnacentral:rRNA from 1 species
AGGCUGAAACUCGCCUAUAUGAAGUCGGAAUUGCUAGUAAUCGCGGAUCAGCAUGCCGCGGUGAAUACGUUCCCGGGCCUUGUACACACCGCCCGUCACACCAUGAGAGUCGAUAACACCCGAAGCCUGUAGUCUAACCAUAUGGGGGACGCAGUCGAAGGUGGGAUUGAUAAUUAGGGUGAAGUCGUAACAAGGUAGC